GCGGGCGUCGUCGUCUCGGCCCUGCAGCCGCGCCAGGAGUCCGCGCUGCACAAAGCUCUGGCGGGCGGCGCGGCCCCGGCCGCCGCUCAGCUCCACCGCGCGUUCCAGAUCCUCCAGGGCGCCUGCGGGACCGAUGAGACGGGCGGGGCGGGGGUCAGCGGCGGCCUGGGCGGCCUUGCCCGAGCCCCAGCCCACCUGCGGCCGCGCGGAUCACCGUGGUCCUUGCGGCUCCGGGGCGUGGCCAUUUACAACCCGCCUCGCACCUGCUAGAGAAAAGACCCCGGCCAUGGAUGGGAGACCUAGGACAAAGAUGGAAAAGAGAAUCAACUCUGCCUUAGGCGAACAAUUUACCAUAAUAUUCUGAGACAGGAGUGGAAUGACACCUCCAGCCAUUACCUGCAAAUGAGAGCUGCUUUAGGCGGGCAUUUGAUCGAGCUUCCUGGACUUUAUCUGUCAAUGACUUCCAGGCAUCUGAAAGGAAAUAAAGAAAACCGUAAGCCAGAAAAUAUGCACAUAAACCCUUAAUACCAAUGAUGUGCACAAGCACUGCUUAGAAUCCCUACAGUGUGAACAUUUGCCCUCCUAGAGCAGUGUUUUAUUAUUUUUCUUAGAGUUUAAAUCAGUUCAUUACAUGUGAAAGGAGCUGAAAAGGUGCACUCCCCAGCAGGGCUUCUUUCUGUUGGAGGACACAGAAGCACGAAGGAAAGUCAGACCUUCCGAAAUGAACUCUGAAUCCCCAACGCAUUCACAUCUCUUGAUGGAAGUCUGGGUCUCACACCUGAAUGUUUGGUACUAUUAUGUUCCCUGUACUCCUAAUCAAAACAGCACUAGUAAUAAUGAUUUGACCAGGACUGUGGGAAGAUCAUAAUCUCUCUGUUCCUUAAAGUUAAGAGGCAGAACUAGAAAAUCCUUACAGUUCCUUCCAGCUCUAACCCAAGAUUCUGUGAUCUUUUCCUGUCUGCUAGGCAUUUCCACAUGGAUUUCUUACAUCACUCCACAUCAGUGUCUUCUGUGGAACCCCCAUACUCCUUACUUAUUUCCUUUGUUCUCCAUGCAUUAUCUUUUGUUUUAGUCACCCAGGCCUGAAUCUUUAGGGUCAUCUUUGACUCUCCCCUCUCCAUAUUCAACCAAGUGUAUUCAUUCUUCUUUCCUUUCCUUUCUUUUCCCACCAAAUGUGGGCUUUAUUACCAGACAUCUCUACUCUAGCAAUACUCUCAUUAGUAAACUCUCGUCUUUGAGCAUCUCCAGUUCAUGCUCAAUCUGUCUUACAUAGAGAGCUUAUCACAUUAUGUUUCCUGAAAUUCUGCUUCUAUUCACUCCCUCAAGUUUUCAAAGUCCUCAUGUUUGGCACUGAAAGCCCUCUAAAACCUGUUGUGCCCUAUCCACAUUCUCAAUUUUCUCCUUCACUACUACCUCACAUGGAUUUCAAUGCCAUCUCAUCUGACACUACUCUAAACCCACCAAAUGCAAUCCUGCCUUUCUAACUUUGCUUACCUCCCUUCUUCUUCCUAGAGAGCCCUGCAUUCUUCUUUGCCUAACCCAAAUUCCAUUUUCUCCUUUAAUAGAAUCUUCUAUUUAUCUUCAUGGGUUUUUGAUAACCCUAACUCACCCAUGGUGACCUUUCUCUCCUUUGAACUCUUCUAGUACUUACAGCCUAGAGAACAUUUACUAGUCCUUCAAAGGUGGAUGAACACUUAGAUGCUUGCGAUACAAAGAUGAAUAAGAAAAUAAAAUUCCAGCCCUUAUGGAGAGCUUGCUGAGUGAGUGAUAAAAGUAAACAAACACGUACAAAACAAAAUUUAAGCUAUGAGAGAAGAACAUGUAAAAUUCAAAAGGAGGGAGAGGGAGGGCUUAGCUACCUCAGAAGGUCAGGGAAGACCGUCUGAGCUGGAUCUUGAAGGGUGAGCUGGAGCUCACCAGGUGAUUGAGGGCAGGGAGAGAACUCCAGGCAGAGGAGAAAGCACGUGUGAAGACACACAAGGGAGACAGAAGGGCACAGAAGGCACAUGAGGGAACGGCAAAAAACAAGGCUGGAGGGAGAAGCAGGUUCUCAGGGGCUCUGCUAAGGUGUGUGCAAUGUUGAAAACAUAAUCUGUAUCAUUAACUUUUCAUGUAAAAUAUGGCUAUUUCUCCAAUAAGACAAACUUCUCAAGGACAAGUGAAAUGUAUGAUGCCUCCAGGUAUCCCCCUACCAUCUAGCAUAAAACAGCCACCUAAAUGGUGCUAAUACUCAGAAAAUGAAGCUCU